CAAGUUUCAUACCUGUUAGGGACAUGCCAGAAACCACAAAUGUUCCUUAAGCCAGCAACAGCAAAAGGAACUGGGAGUUUCCACACAGGCAAAGACAAUGUCUGCAGUAGAUUGUCUUGCAAAUUAGUUUCGUCUCAUUGCCAAGAGAUGAGAGCAGGAAAAGGAUGCCACGGGAUGAGAGCAGGAAAACCAGCAUCUGGAUUUCUAGAACCCCAAAAGGCUGAGGUCUUCAAGAGAACAAGUGACACAUUACUCUACACUGAAGUCUUUUUAAAGGGAACAAAAGUCUUCCUGGAAGCAAGUCCAUGAAACCGUAAAGUAUUUUAGGAAGAUCCCAGGCUGUGUGAGAUCAAUUAAAAGAAAACACUCCUGAGGUGCAUGGAUGCAAAAUGCAAACACCUCUGCGGGCGCCAGCUUGAAAAUAUCAUUAUUCAAAGAAGUGCUGGCACAGGAGCAGUCGCCGCGGCACACGAGCUGCGUGUCCGGGUGCCAGGGACCGGGCAGAAGGGCUGUCCUGCUGCUCACGGGGCAGUGGGUAACCCAAGAAGGGGCAUCUCCUGGCAUCCUGCGAUGCCUCCUGCCAGCUCUGCAUGCCAGAGAGCCAGGAACACCUGCCAACAAUGGCAAGAGCGCUUCUCACUUAGCGUAGCAGAGGCUGGGACACAGCCUUAUUAAUUGCAUUCAACUGUUGGCUCAAAUGAAUCGAGCUGGCAGGGAGAACGGUGACAGCAAGCGCUUGUGUUGCGAGCGCAGGACGCCUCGUUCCCUGUCUUCCUCCUGCUUGUUUUCACCCCCUGCUCUGCACAGGGAUUUUAAGAUCAGUGCAAUUAAUUUAGGUGUAAGGGGGAAGGAUUGAACAAUCGAGUGCUGGCAAUAGAAUAGCCGCUCUUUGCUCAGGGCUCGCAGUUGCGAUGUAGCCAAGCCCUACAUCCAAGGGAGAAUUGGUACCAAAUGGCUUAAUGAAGGAAACACCGCCAAGAAUCAACAAGAACAGCCUAAGAGCCCUGCACAAGAUGCCACGUCACGGGCAGCAGCCCAUGUGAAAGAUUGUAAGAGCUUUUUGUCUGACAAAUCCCUUGGAAACAAACCCUGAGGAUGCAAAGACUUGAUUCUCCAGUGACAUGGCACAGUGUCUUUGAAGACAAUCUGUGCUUCAGACCCUUCUAGUCCUCCAACCUUUAGUGGUUUUGCUGCUCAUCUUAAGUAAAGGAUCUGCUAAAGAAGAAAAUACCCCUCUGGGGUUACCUCUGAAGUGGGAUCCUCUACAGCUGCUGGACUGGUUGUUCCAAUGAGAGAGAAACUGCCGGAAAUUUCUGUGGAUGCCGUUCCAAAUGCAGCAGCGUGCGCCUGUGUUCCAGCUGUCUCACCAUAAAGUGUGACUAUUUCCUACAAUCAUCUGCAAGAAGUCUUUCAAUUCUGCCGAACUUGUAAUGCUGUCAUGGAAAUGACCAAGAAGCAUUUUCUACAGCUAUAUAAUAACUACACGAUGGCUAAAGGACUUUGUAUCUGUUAAUGUAUCCCCUUUAUGCAGCAGAAGCUGCCAUAAGCAUCAGGAUAAUCUGUGCCCUUCCCGAGGUGUCCAUCAAAUGCCGUCUGGCGCAUCGGUGAGGUGUGAGAUGCAGCUCUGGUUUGUAUCGUUGGAAUAUGUUCGAAUAUCAGCUACACUGUAUCCUGGAUGCAGCAUUAAUUAAACAGAACGGCCCUGCUUCAGGCCCCAAUGGACAAGCAUCCACAUGGCAACUGCGAGCCUUGUCGGCAGCAAGAGAUUAAGGAAUUAAUUGGCAGGGUUAAUCUUCACGUCAGGGUUGGAGAUGAAUUGUUAAUUUGUUUGGAUGAGUGUAAAGUCCUCUCCCAGCGAUGGCAGGUGGGAUCACAUGAGAAAAAGCCUGCGAAGCUGCCCUUCCUGGGGACCUUUCUAUUUAACACCUCCUGCAAACAGACCGCUCAUAGUCUUUGCCCCCGAUGUGCGAGACUCCUGCGCAGGGUCGGAGGAGCAGGUUGUGCCGCUCACGUCCUGCCAGAUGACAGCACAGCUGCUCUGAGACGUGGGAGGGCCCAGCUGCAGCGUGGGAGGGCCCCUGCGUGUUACGGUUUUUUCCUUCUGAUCUGGUUCCCUUGCACCAAGCAGAUCCCAUCACUGUGUUGCAGAUCCCAGAUCAGGCCAACCUGCUCUAGGAUCUCGGAAUGAGGGACAGAGGGAUGUGAUGACACUGAAAAGCUGCUGUUGGGGCAAGUGGUACCAGCCUUGCACACAGCCUGCAGAACUUGACAGGAGUUGUGGCCCCUUCUGCAAGUUCCAGUGCUUCAGCACCAUGGCCUGAGCAGCAGCUUCACUUGGAUUUUCCACGAGAGGUUUCCCGUCUUCCCUCAAAAGUGGCCACAGGAAGAAGAAACCAACAGUUCUGUUUGUUGUUCCUCACAUCUUCAGGAGGCAGGACCCUGGCAGGGAUUUCAUCAUCUCCUUUACAGCUUAGGUAAGUUAUGUGGCAGACACAACUCAACACAAUUUGUCAUCUGUUUCUCCAUGGUAGCAUCUACUCUAGUCAUGCUGUACAAUGGUUACAAGGUUGUUGCGAUGUGUUCAGAUUCAAUAAACUACCCAGUAAAGAUAAUCUUGUCUAAAGGAAACACAGUAAAAUGUCCUGUAAGAUUAAUACAUGAGAUAAGAAAUCCAAUUAGAGCACAGAUCCUGCCACUUCAAUCAUUAUGGGUAAGAUACAAUUAACUCUGUAUAUUGCAUACUAACUAUAGGUGGGAUCAGGCCAUGUUUGAUAAAAUUGUUCCCAUUCU